ACGCCCGGCCUGUCUGUCCAACCUUAACUUAUAUUUAACAAUGGUUUGUAUAUUUUAUGGUUCUCUGUAUUGGGUUUGACUUUUUUUUUUUUAAAGUUUUAUGUGCUUUGCUGAUUGGCCUUACAUGUAUGUCUAUGUGAGGGUGUCUUAUUCCCUAGAACUGAAGUUACAGAUAGGUGUGAGCUGCCAUGUAUGCUCUGGGAAUUAAACCUGGGUCUCUGGAAGAGCAGCCAGUGCUCUUAACCACUGAACCAUCUCUCCAGCACCCAAGGGUUUUCUGUCUUUCUCUCUUUCUUUUUUAUCUUCCUAUAUGAGUAAUUGGCCUGCGUGUAUGUGCACCAUGUGAGCUCAGUACCCACAGGAAGAGAGCCUUGAACCCCCUGAAACUGGAGUUACAUACGGUUGUGAGGCACCACGUGGAUGAUGGGAAUUGAACAUCUAUAAGGAUGCUCUAGCCACCGAGCCAUCUUUCCAAUUCCUACAUGAUGUUAUAAUGCCUUAACAGUGAACCUUAAACCAAGCUUUGGUGGUUCAUGCUUGUAAUCCCGGCACUCAGGAGGCUGAAGCAGUAGGAUCAAGAAUUCCAGGCUAGCCGGGCGUGGUAGCACACACCUUUAAUCCCAGCACUCGGGAGGCAGAGGCAGAUGGAUUUCUGAGUUCAAGGCCAGCCACCUGGUCUACAAAGUGAGUUCCAGGACAGCCAGGGCUAUACAGAGAAACCCUAUCUUAAAAAACAAAAAAAGAAUUCCAGGCUAGCUUGGGCGAUAUAGAGAUCCUAUCUCUUAAAGAAGGAGAAGGAUUAGGAUUCUCAUCUUCGUAGUUAGAUGCCCCAGGAAAUCAGUGAAUGGGGAAAGCAUUUAAAUGAAAGAAGCCUUGGUCUGGGCCCGGACAGCUCAGGAAUGAGGCCCCUUGCUGUUCAGUGGGCUUUCUCGGAGUUGUUGGGCAGAUGGCAGAAGCCAGCUGCACCUAGGCAGAUAUGAGCCCUGUUUUGUAGUGGUUGGUUGCCAGAGGGAAGCGGUCACCUGUUUACCUCUCAGCAAGCAAGCUAGGAGCAUGCCUGGGUUGUGACGCGUUCACUGAGGGAACCUAGUCCUCUCUUAUCAGAGGGUAGGCCAAUCUUCCUACCACUAAUGCUAACAUUUCUGGUACAAAGACAGCUGUGAGGGCAUGUCCUGUUCUUCAAAGGGACCGUCCUUAUACGGGAAAGCAGCUGCUUUUCCUCGGCCCCCACUCCUGGCUGCCUCCUCCCCCUCAACACGAUGUCUGCUAAGGAGUUUCCUCCAUUGUGCCUCGGGCAGACGUUGCUCAGGUUCUUAUCUGCUGCCUGCUUAUCAGAGCUAACUGUGCUAGGGGUGGUGAGACAGACACCUCAGUGUGGAAAGCAUCGGCCAGGCAAGCCCAGCGGCGAGCCUCCGAGGAUCUCACACACAGAGUGGUAGAAGGAAAGACUGCUGCAUAGAGCUGCCCUCUGAGCCUCACACAGUUGACACACACAAGAUGCACAUCAAAAGAAAAAAAAGAGCUAAGCCAGGGAGACCCCAAGGCCGCCAAAGUUACAAAGAUACACACUUCACUCAGUGGGGCUGGAGAGAUGGCGCAGUGGGUAGCGUGCUCCUCUUCCAGAGGCUCAGAGUUCAGUGUCCAGCACUCAGGUCAGGUGGCUCAUAACUACCUGUGACUCUGGUUCCAGGGAAUCCAGUGACCUCUUCUGGCUUGCACGUGUGAGUGUGUGUGUGUGUGCGUGAAUG
rnacentral:lncRNA from 1 species